CUCCUGUUCAUACAUUUAUGUAUAAUAUAGAUAUAGAUAGGGAAUACGCAUAACAUCCUAUUGCUUAGAAUCUUUCCAAGUUAACAAGAAAAUAAAAAAUCAUGUUGAACUCGUAUCCUGCACAAGAUGCUACUUCCAUUGUUGUAUGCUUGCCUCCCUUGCUGCAUUUUUUCUGAUACAAUUUAAUAAUGUGGACUACAAUCAAACUUGAAAUUCAUGCCAUCUAUUUCCUAAAAUUAUUUACAUAUAUUUUCUUAAAAAUGGAAAGUUAAAAUACAGAAGGCAGCCUACAGCAUUUUGAUUUUCCUCUUGGAAUGCACCUUUUUGUUUGGAACCAGUUGAGAGAGCUUCUUAAUUUGCGAAGUAAAUUAUCUAUUUAGAUUUAAUAUAUCUGAUUGGCUAACGCACUUUUGUUAAUUUAGGAAAUAUAUUUGAAAUGUAAAAUUACCUUCAUCAGGGAAAAUAAUUGAAGAACCAAGUAAAGUUGGAUAGCAAGUGAAAAUUUUGGGUGCAUAAAAUAGCAUACAAGAUAGCAACAUAGAGUCCAGAAUUCAAAUGUCAGGGCCAUGGAAUCAUCAAUUAGCAGAAUUUGCAUGCAUGCACAACAAAAAAUGAAAAAUGGCUGGAGUUGAAAGUUCACUCAC
rnacentral:misc_RNA from 1 species